rnacentral:rRNA from 1 species
UACGUAGGGCCCAAGCGUUGUUCGGAUUUACUGGGCGUAAAGGGCGCGUAGGCGGCUUGACAAGUCACUUGUGAAAUCUCCGGGCUUAACUCGGAACGGCCAAGUGAAACUGUCAUGCUAGAGUGCAGAAGGGGCAAUCGGAAUUCUUGGUGUAGCGGUGAAAUGCGUAGAUAUCAAGAGGAACACCUGAGGUGAAGACGGGUUGCUGGGCUGACACUGACGCUGAGGCGCGAAAGCCAGGGGAGCAAACGGG